rnacentral:rRNA from 1 species
GACGAACGCUGGCGGCGUGCUUAACACAUGCAAGUCGAACGGAAAGGCCCUGCUUUUGUGGGGUGCUCGAGUGGCGAACGGGUGAGUAACACGUGAGUAACCUGCCCUUGACUUUGGGAUAACUUCAGGAAACUGGGGCUAAUACCGGAUAGGAGCUCCUGAUGCAUGUUGGGGGUUGGAAAGUUUCGGCGGUUGGGGAUGGACUCGCGGCUUAUCAGCUUGUUGGUGGGGUAGUGGCUUACCAAGGCUUUGACGGGUAGCCGGCCUGAGAGGGUGACCGGCCACAUUGGGACUGAGAUACGGCCCAGACUCCUACGGGAGGCAGCAGUGGGGAAUAUUGCACAAUGGGCGGAAGCCUGAUGCAGCAACGCCGCGUGCGGGAUGACGGCCUUCGGGUUGUAAACCGCUUUCGCCUGUGACGAAGCGUGAGUGACGGUAAUGGGUAAAGAAGCACCGGCUAACUACGUG